GGGGUUUAAGUAAGGUAACGGCAAGGGUUGUGUGAUGUGGAUCAACUAGCAAGGUUGGGAAGAAGGAAGUUGGAUGUUUGUUUGGGUGUUGGAUGAGUUUUGGAAGAAAAGGGUGAGGGUUUUGAUUUGAGACAAGAGCACUGAUUAGAGGACAUACAACACGAUCUACAUUGGAGGUACCAGGUUAUUUAUGGUGUCGCUUGGAGCAUCCUGUUUGCUGGUC